ensembl:lncRNA
AGACCCCAUUCCAUGAUGGACACAUCAGUGAGACAGCGUUUCAAGGAGAUCUCUGUUCUUCAAACUACAUACAGAGGAUCCCAUCUCUAUUAAAUCCUGGGGGUCUUCAGAGCCUUGGCAAGCCCCUGGGUGCAUGGGUCAGCGACUCCACCACCUUCCUGGGCAACCAGAUUGGAUGGGAUCCUGGGCAGCACGAUCCUGUGGUUGACAUCCCUGCCCAUGGCAGCAGGUUGGAACUAGAUGAUCUCUAAGGUCCCUUCCAACUUGAGCAAUUCUCUGAUUCUAUAAUAAGGUUAUCUAGAACGUGUUUUCUGCCUGUUCUUGGGGUAUAACGGGGUAGCAGGUGGCUCUUUCAUUACUAUCUGUGAUUUUUGCUCCCCAUAAAAUGGUGAAACUCUUGGAUACUCUCUUAUCAUGCACUGAUACAUAUCAGGAGUUAAGUGCCCUGAAAUCAGUGGAAGCACAGCAAUGCCAGGAAGAAGUGCAGGAAAUGUGAUGACCCCAGCACCAAAGCAUGGUAGAUACAAGCAAAGCAGACCUGCUUGUUCUUGGCUCAUUGAAAACACUUUCAGAAUCCACAUGGGCCUUCUGGAAGUAUAUCCAGCCCUAUUCCAUGAAGGAACACCUCACUGCUCAUGAAGCCAUGAGCACUUCUCUCAGUAUUUGGAGAGAAAGAAAUAAAAGAAGCUUAAAAACCCUGAAUAACUCUGUUUCUGAGUUUUCUUUCCCAUUUGCCCGGUGCACAGAGUCAAGACAGGGUAAUAACCACAGCUCUGCAAUGUAAGUGCGUGGAGAAUGAUAUAAUUCUGUGUUUUGGUCUGAGUCUACGAUUAUAGACAUACAGGUACGUACAUGACUAGUGCCAGGAGACUUAGUCCAAGUCACCUCUCCCACUCUAAGGGGAAUAAAGACCUGGAGGGCCC